GUUUGACUCUUCAUCUUAUUUUAAGAAACAUGAUCAAUAUUUUUAUUGUUAUUAGAUGGUAAAACACGAAUAUUACUUUACACGUGACUAAUUUUUUAAAGUUUCUUUUAAAAAAUAAAUAAGAUGGAUGGUCAAAC
rnacentral:pre_miRNA from 1 species